UCCGCAUAACCAGAUUAAAGAAACAUACUCCACCCCAGCACAUAUAGGAGUAUUCUGGACCACUCGUUUGAAAUCAAAACAAUUGCUGUUGGGGGACGAUGCUCUCUCGAGGUCUGCUGCUCUUUCCAUGGCGGAUCCGUAUCCAGAAGCGCGUGACCCCGGAGGAAACGAUGCUGUGGAGAGCACCGACGUCUAGAUCCAGAAGCGCAUGACCCCAGAGGACUUUGGGGUGCCGUGGAAGCAAGCCGUUCAGGGACCAGGGGUGUCUCCUACCCUUGACUUGAGGUGGAAUAUUUGAGUACAGGCUCAUCUAGUUUGGUUGGAUCCCGCGGAUUUCCAAACAAUAUGAAAUCAAUGGACCUCAAUCGUUGCGCAGAUAGUGGGCAAAGCAUGAGGAACAGUGACAUGGGGAGUGCAUGCCUAGCUGAUGGGAGUUUGAGCAUUUCGUCAAGAGCUUGCUUUGAUCAAUGUUUGUUACGUUGGCAUGUGGGUUGUUCGCAUAUUAGUAUGAGCCGUCCAAUAAAAUUCAAUGGGUUUGGCUGCUGUGUGGAUGAUGGUAGCCUGCUUGAUGAUAAUAGCUUGGUCAGGGGGUCUUUUGGAUGGAGAUGCGGUGUCUGUAAGCUGGAACAGGUAAGAAUCUACCUGCCAAACUGGUUGCGGUGCACAUAGUGUUGUGCAGGCUUAGCCCAUAUGUUAUUGUUGGGUGGAUUUUGUUUUGCACAGUUCCAAUAAUGCAAAUCAAAAUAUGAAUGAUGACAUUGCUGAAUCAAGACUGUAUGAGGUGAGGGAUCAAGGUGGAAACAAUGUCAAUCCUGGGGCCAUUCAAAGAUUAAACUGUAAAGAAAAUAUUGUGAUUGAUCUGAACAUUGUGCCUACUCAAAGCUCGGAGGUUUUCGAACCAGAAUAUCAGACCAAUGAAGAUCUAAGUAUUGUUGGUGAAUCAAUUGUACAAGUGCCUGAACCAUCUCGUACUGCUGUUGGCUGAAAAAAAAAGAAACACGGCAACCAACAGACCUGACCACCGGCAACCAACAUAAAAAUGUAGAGCGAGCGCACUGCAGCAGGCGUUGAUGAAGUUUGCAGAUAGGACAACAUAUUACAUUAUCAAUCCCGCAGUAGGAACUGAAUUUGAUGAUCUACAGAAAGCAUACGAAUAUUACAACCUGUACUCAUGGGAGUGUGGUUUUGGCAUACGGAAAGGGGAAAACGGUACUCUAAUAACCGUGUAAAUAGGAAACUACCAGAUGAUGAAAGAUAUCAGCUUGGUCAAGAAUUCAAUUGCAGUUGCGGGGGAAAGCCAGGAGAUAAUUUGAAGACAACUUCCAGCAAGACAGAAUGCCCGACAUUGCUAUGGCUAAGCAGAACAGGUAACAAUGGAUGGGUUGUAGUAGCACAUGUUUCCGAGCAUAACCAUGCCCUCUCAAACUCUUACGGAGAAAAAAAGCAAUGGCCAUCACAUUACCACUUGGACAAGUACACCAAAGAGCUAGUUAGGAUGUUGAGGGAAAAUAAUGUUGGAAUAACUAAGCUUUACAGUAUAUUGGGAAAUUUCUUUGGUUCAAUGGAAAAGGUGCCAACAACAAAACGAUCAUUGAAGAACUUGUGUCAGAAAAUUAACCGUGAGUAAGCUGAGGAUGACAUAAAGAAGACAUUAGAUUUGUUUAGUGAGUUAAGGAAAUCUGAUCCUGGUUUCAUGUUUAGUGUUGAUCCUGAUGAAGAUGGUAGAAUCAAAACUCUGUUAUGGACAAAUGGUCGUAGCAGGAUGCAGUGUGAGCAUUUUGGAGAUUUAAUAACAUUUGACACUACUUACAAGACAAAUCUGUAUGGGAUGCCAUUUGGGCUAUUUGUAGGAGUCAACAAUCAUUUCCAGAGUGUACUUUUUGGUGGGGUGCUGAUGACAGAUGAGAAAAUAGAUAGUUUCAAGUGGGUAUUCAGAGAGUUUGUUAAUCUUAUGGGUGGCAAAACACCAGCGACUGUGCUAACAGAUCAAUGCCGGGCGAUGGAGGUAGCAAUCGCUGAAGAAUGGAAAGACACUAUCCAUCGAUGGAGCAAGUGGCAUGUCUUGCGACGAGUUAGAGAAUGUGUUGGACCUAAGUAUGCACAGAUACGUGAAUUCCGUGAUGAAUUUCAUAAGAUGCUCAAUGAAAUGUUGACAAUUGAUGAAUUUGAAAAAGCUUGGCAGCAAUUGUUAAUUAAAUAUGGGUUGACAACUAACCCUUUCCUUCAACAAGUGUAUGAGACACGACACAUGUGGGUUAAGAGUUACUUCAAAGGUGUGUUUUGUGCUAGAAUGACAAGCACACAACGUAGUGAGAGUGCAAAUCACAUGUUGAAGAACCUGGUUCAGCCUAAUUGCCCUCUUCAUCAGUUUAUUCAGCAGUAUAAUAAGUUGCAAUACAUCCGUGAUGAAGAAGAGAAUUACUAAGAAAAAAAUCAAGACUGAACAAGAAAUGCAAGAAGACUGGAGGGCCGCUAGUGAUGGAGGCCCACCAGAUUUACACACCAAAUGUAUUCAAUCUAUUUUGUGAAUUGAAGGAGUCUGAAUUCUACAAAGCAAUAGAACAAAUUCCAGGUGAAGAGUAUGUUACUGAGCAUUAUGAGCUUUGUCGCGUACAGCGUUGGUGCAAAGGAUCUUACAAAGUGAGAAUUUCAUCUGGUGGUAGUAAAUAUGAUUGUGAGUGUGGACUCUUUGAACAUUUUGGUUUACCAUGUAGCCAUAUCUUACGGGUUCUGAUCAGCACAGGGGUGCAAAAAAUUCCUGAGAGUCUGGUGAUGAAGAGAUGGACUAAGAAAGCAAGACUUGAUACAGCAGGACACCUUGCUGAAUACAGAAAAGAAAAUCCAGCUAUACAAUCGUUGACUUACCGUCAUUCAUCUCUUAUGGUUAGGGUCCUUCAAUUUGUUGAGAUGGGAGACAACAAUGUGGAGAGCUAUAAGAUGGCUAUGGACAUUAUUGAGUCAGGCAUAACAGCACUAUAUAAGUAAGGUGAAGGAUGGAAUGGGUUUGGGUCAUGCACAAGAAGCAGAAACAGAAGAUGUAGAUAAUGUGAAAUUUGAUAAUUUCCCACAAAGAGUGCCAAGGAAGAAAAAUGAGCGUGGUAGGCCAACAAAUAAGAGGGACAAACCAGCUUAUGAAGUUGGAAGCAAACAUCCCUGAUUUUGCAGCAUUUGCAAGAGUGACAGCCACACUAAGCAAAGUUGUCCAGAUCGGGAUCCAGCAACAAAAAAGCCGAGGAGGCCACCAACAUGUACGGGUUGCGGCCUGUUUGGUCAUAAAAUCCAGAAAUGUAAAGGCAAUGCACAGGAGCCCGCUGUUGUUGCCAACAUAUUCGUGUAGAAGCGGCACCGAAAUAUUGAUGCUCAUUUUAUUGUGGUACUUUGUGUACUUGUAGUGAUCUUGCGAGUAUUUGAUGUUGAACUGGUACAUGACCAUUUCGUGUGUAUAUAAGAUGAUGCUCUAUGUUGAACUCGUACAUGAAUAUUUUGUGUGUACAUAUAAGAUGAUGCUCUAUGUUGCUUA